rnacentral:rRNA from 1 species
AUGGGUGAUUUCAAAGUAGAAAUAGAUGUUCAGUCUUACUUGACGAUUGUAGACGGCAGUAGAGUGUACACAAGGGGCAGAACAUGGAAUUUUAUGGCCGGUCGGGGCUUGUCCGUGGCACGGAUAAAGGAGGUUGUGGAGGAGAGGUACAAAUGGUCUGCUGAUCAGAGAAUGACCAUUUGGUAUGGAUCCGGAGGUAACGUCGUCCCAUUGAUCUCUGAAUCAGAGAUAGCUCAAUUGUUUGAUAUAUGUUCACACACAAAAAUAGUAAGGUUCGGUGUGACCAUUGAGAGCAAACAACAAGAAAAUGAACCUGCUCUUGUCAUGACCGAGGAGAUGGAUGAUCAGCCGGUUCACGCUCCAUUCUUUGCUUGGCCGAAGCAAGCCUAUGAAGGGGAGUACGAGGAUGAUGAGCCCGUGGGAUGCAAUGAGGAGAACACCUAUUUGCAUGAGGAGAAUGCUGAGUCAAAGGAGAAUGCCAAACCACAGAAAAAUGCCGAGCCAAAGGCUGCAAGAGUUCCACUGGGAACACUAGAUGUUGACAACUCUUGUGAUCCACAACAUGUGCGAGGGGAUGAUGAGGCCUUACUUGCGAAUAAUACGGCUCCUACUUAUAUCCACGAUAAAAACAAUCCUCGAAUCGAAGUAGGAGCCACAUUUCCUAACUCUAAAGCAUUUAGAGUUGCAUUGAGACAACUAGCAAUUAGAGAAGAUUGGUCCUUUGGCAUGCAGUAUAGUGACACUCAGAGAUUUAGGGCUAAUUGCACUGAUGAGGAUUGUCCAUGGAGGAUACAUGCCUCAAAGUUACCGAACACUAAAACUUUCAUGGUAUGA